UACGUAGGGGGCUAGCGUUGUCCGGAUUUAUUGGGCGUAAAGAGCGUGUAGGCGGCCAGAUAGGUCCGUUGUGAAAACUGGAGGCUUAACCUCCAGCUGUCGAUGGAAACCAUCUGGCUAGAGUCCGGAAGAGGAGAGUGGAAUUCCUGGUGUAGCGGUGAAAUGCGCAGAUAUCAGGAAGAACACCCGUGGCGAAGGCGGCUCUCUGGAACAUUUCUGACGCUGAGGCUCGAAAGCGUGGGGAGCAAACAGG
rnacentral:rRNA from 1 species